GGCCAGGCCAUGCCACUCACCUUGGGAGGUUGUGUAAUUGGUUUCUGGUCAUACCAUCGACCUGGCAAGUGUCCAUCUUUGUCUUUAAAACUUUGAAUCUAUUGAGAUUUAUCAGAGGCCUUGGAGGUUAUUGGCCCUAAAGGAAUCUGUACCCAUGUGAAUUUCUGUUUUAAUUUUGUGUAGAGUUGGUAAUUUUUUACUGUAUUAACCAAAUUUAUGUCUGAGGACAGACCCACUGAAAUGAACAGCCAGGCUGCAUUUCAUACUCAAGGGCUUAAGCUCCCCACCUGGCAGCCCUUAGCUUGCCUCUCUUCUUUGUAAUUAAAACCCAAGAACCUGAUCUAGAAAACUUGUUUGUUUGCCAGAGUGGUUUCAACCCCAGGGGUUUAGGGCUUUUCCUGGGGGCUUCCCACUUACUCAGCAGCCUUUUGCAAGCCUGUGGGUACCUCAGCGAGCCAGUAGCCUCUGUAGUCGCUGUCUCCUUCCUCUGUAGUCGCUGUCUCCUUCGUGUCCUGCCCAGUGCACACAGUCACUCACACACCAAAGUUAAAGACUGGAGUAGACCACCCAGACUGUCUUUUCCUCAUGGACAACCUUUGAGGCAGAAGUGGAGAAGCUGAUCUUCAAAUUCACGUGCAACUGCAGGGCCCCUGGAUACCCCAAACCAUCUUGUCAAAGAACAGAGCGGAGACUCACACUGUUCUACUUCACAGCUUACUACCGGCUCUAGCCAACAAUAUGGCUACGGCACAACCACAGACAGAGAGAGGCCCACAGCUCGCUGGUCAGUUAGUUUGUCCAGGGUGUGAAGACCAUUCAGUGGGGAAAGAACAGGCUCUUCAAUAAAUGGGGCUGGGACAGUCGGAUGUUCACAUACCAGGAAUGAAAUUGGACCCUACCACC